AAUAAUGGCCGCACCAGAGUGCGAGUUCCCAAUAGCGUCCGAUCUUGGAGGGUAAGCAGGGCUGUGUCUGGUUAGUACUUGGAUGGGAGACCAACUUGGAAGACCAGGGGCCACUAGUU
rnacentral:rRNA from 12 species